rnacentral:rRNA from 1 species
CCCUGCCCUUUGUACACACCGCCCGUCGCUACUACCGAUUGAAUGGCUUAGUGAGGCCUUGGGAUUUCGGGUGCCCAGAAAUGGGUUGCCUGGAAAAACUUGGCCAAACUUGGUCAUUUAGAGGAAGUAAAAGU